AUUUUUUUCCUAUACACAGUGGAUAUUAAGCAAAUGACAACCAUUUUACUUGCAUUAAGAGAGAAAGAAGAAGCAGUGUCCUACUUCAGCAGGAGAACAGAAACUGACCUCUACAGGAUGUUUGGGUGAAGGUCAUUUUCUAUUAUAUGGCCUAUAAAAUCAUUUCCAUUGGGAAAGAAUGGCAGAAAAGUCAUCAUCCUUUGAAGACAGUUUUAAUUAAAAGAGGGAGAAACCCAGAGAGUUGCUGAGUCUCACGAGAAUGGAUGUUUGUAAUUCAGAGCAAUGUUUUUCCUGCAAAGUACUUUUUUUCUCUUUUGAUCAAUAACUAG
rnacentral:lncRNA from 1 species